GAUCUGAACAAUAUAUUUUACAAAUAUGUAUGUAUGUUAUAUACAGACGGACGGAGGAGCAUACGGAAAUCAAAAUCCACUUGGUCUUUUAAAUCUUAAACGUUCAUAUUGAAUAAACUGGACGUUUUAUCUAUUCUCUCUAAAAAGCGAACUCUUAAGUGACUGAUUUAUUCAAAUUGAUUACAUUUAUUUGUGUUCCAUAAAGACGACAACUACUUUUUGAUAAGUGGAUUUGUAGUUGUGUGUAUUCAGAAUAAAAGGAAACGAACACGAGAAAACACACGAAGAUGGCUAUACUGCAGUCUUGUUGCUUUUGGAAGACGGUGCGUACGGGUAGCAUUGCAAGCGCCACAUACACUUUGGUGUACUUUGGUUUCUCCACCGUUGUUAUGCUCAUUACUGUUUAUGAUGAACAGGAGUUUCUGGCCGGCAGCAGAGAGCAACCAUUAGGGGAAAGCAUCUUGGCUAAGGGAGAGAUAACACCGGCUAUUCUUGUAUUUAAUAUUCUCUUUCUGGUUUGCUCGUUCUUCAUCGUCAUGUCGUCGCUCUUCACGUUCGUGGGGCUGAAGCAGAAUCGUCGUCAGCUGCUGUUACCCUGGAUUGUUUUCAUGCUUUGCGAUAUCCUGAUUGAAAUUGUUCACUUGGGAUAUUUAUCAUUUACGCAAAUCGUCAACUUCGAUCCCGUCGUCGGCUUUAUAUUCACCAUCGACUUUUUUGUAAUGUGUCUAAAUUCUUACUGUCUGCUGUGCGUGAUAUCGCAAUAUCAAAAUUACCUGCAAGGACUGGGCUGCGGGAAUCAACAGAUACGGACGGACGUAAUGAAACAAGCAGCUGAUGAUGCAGCUGGCUCUAGUCAAAGUUAUCUGCGUGCAACGAAAAUACAAAAAUCUAUCGCCAGUCCUUACAUAACAACAAAUCCGCACACGCACAUUUCGACUAUACACGAGGAGAUGGACCAAAAUCAUAAAAUUCCUUCGGAUUCAGCGGAAAUGCCAAGCGUACAGGCUGAAGACAACUGCUUACAUAUAACUGUCAAUAUUCCGUCUCCGUUAUAAAUGUGACAUUUCCAGCGUUUCUCCUCUAGGGGAACCGGCAAUGCGGGACAGAGAGGACAAACAGUAGUAGGAGCUGCAUCAGGACUUAUAAUGGAUGUUUGCGACAAUUGCGCCUAUUUAGCUGAAGUUGGAAAAUUGUUGUUGCAACUAUACGCACCGAAAAUUACUUUGCAUAAGUGCUGCAUAAAUAUAAGUGAGGGUCGUGUGCGGUAAAAAUGCGGGCAGGAGCAAGUGCAUACUUCUUUGUCAACUUAACAACAGAAUUUAUGGGGAAAUAAGAAGAGUUUCACUGCUCCGUUUUUCCUGGUCUAAAUGUAUGUGUAUGGCUAUGUAUGUACAUAUGUAUAGUAUAUUAUUUUACUAAAACAAAUUUCACGGCUUCACAUACAUAUGUAUAUACAAAUUACUUACGACAGCAUUGUAAAAUAAAUAUGAUUUGAAGAGGGUGUUCAUUUAGUGAUAAAAAGGUGUUCUUUUAAAUAAAAUACAGAUCCUAGAAAAAGAUUGUUUCCAGGUCAUAGUUAUUGGUACAAAUUUGCAACUGAUCUGACAUUGCCUACAAAAAGUCAAAUAACCAGCCCAUUAGCUUUUAAGCGAUUAAAAUAGUUAUGGCAAACCAAAAACCUUGUUAACUUUUGACUCCGCAUUCGGUUCCAAAAACGGAUGGAAUAAUACUCUUGACAUGCAAACCACAUUAUUCGGUAAACUUUGAGGUUUCAAGAAGUCUGGAAAAUCUAUUUGGGACUCUUCGCACUUCAGAUAUGACAGUUUUGUUAAUUCGCUUAACCGUAAAGUCAGAUAUGAGUCUCAUCACUGACGCGUGCGAAAUAUGUUGAACGAUUGCCACAUAUGUUAAGAUAUGAGUUUGGGACAUAACUUCCCAUUGCAUAUCCCCCGGCGUAAGACUUGGCAUGUGAAUAUAGUAUUCCAGAGGAUACUCAAAAUAAAUAUCAAAGACAUUCAUCCCGUUGGAUAGCUAUAUCUUUUGAAAAUUCUACACCCCUAAAUAAAAAUACACAAAAAUGUAAAUACAAUUUAAUUUUGAAUACUUUUUGCUAAGAAUCUAGAUCGACAUAGAAAUUGGGAGACAAACAUUUUCAAAUGUUAAUAUUGUACUAAAAUUCAUAGCCAAAGUAAAAAUAUUAA
rnacentral:misc_RNA from 1 species